UACGGGGGGGCAAGCGUUGUUCGGAAUUCCUGGGCGUAAAGGGCUCGUAGGUGGCCAACUAAGUCAGACGUGAAAUCCCUCGGCUUAACCGGGGAACUGCGUCUGAUACUGGAUGGCUUGAGAUUGGGAGAGGGACGCGGAAUUCCAGGUGUAGCGGUGAAAUGCGUAGAUAUCUGGAGGAACACCGGUGGCGAAGGCGGCGUCCUGGACCAACACUGACACUGAGGAGCGAAAGCCAGGGGAGCAAACGGG
rnacentral:rRNA from 1 species